AGUGAACGCUGGCGGUAGGCCUAACACAUGCAAGUCGAACGGCAGCACAGUAAGAGCUUGCUCUUACGGGUGGCGAGUGGCGGACGGGUGAGGAAUACAUCGGAAUCUACUUUUUCGUGGGGGAUAACGUAGGGAAACUUACGCUAAUACCGCAUACGACCUACGGGUGAAAGCAGGGGAUCUUCGGACCUUGCGCGAUUGAAUGAGCCGAUGUCGGAUUAGCUAGUUGGCGGGGUAAAGGCCCACCAAGGCGACGAUCCGUAGCUGGUCUGAGAGGAUGAUCGGCCACACUGGACCUGAGACACGGUCCAGACUCCUACGGGAGGCAGCAGUGGGGAAUAUUGGACAAUGGGCGCAAGCCUGAUCCAGCCAUACCGCGUGGGUGAAGAAGGCCUUCGGGUUGUAAAGCCCUUUUGUUGGGAAAGAAAAGCAGCAGGUUAAUACCCCGCUGUUCUGACGGUACCCAAAGAAUAAGCACCGGCUAACUUCGU
rnacentral:rRNA from 1 species